CUACGGAGGGUGCAAGCGUUACUCGGAAUCACUGGGCGUACAGCGCGCGCAGGCGGCUAUUUAAGUUGGAUGUGAAAGCCUACGGCUCAACCGUAGAACUGCAUCCAAAACUAUUUAGCUAGAGUGUGGGAGAGGAAGAUGGAAUUAGUUGUGUAGGGGUAAAAUCCGUAGAGAUAACUAGGAAUACCAAAAGCGAAGGCAAUCUUCUGGAACACUACUGACGCUGAGGCGCGAAAGCGUGGGGAGCAAACGGGAUUAGAAACCCUAGUAGUCC
rnacentral:rRNA from 1 species